AUCAUCUACAGACGAUGACCUCAACAGCAGGAACAAAAUGUUUACAGCAUCAGCGGCCGAGUUCAAGGGCAAGAGCAGCAACAGCGGUUUCCUGAAGCGUUUGUCUCGGUUGAACACAUCAGCAUCAUGAACGAAAUGAACAAACCUCCGAAAUACGAUGACGCUCCUCCAUCAUAUGAAGAAGCCAUCAAAAUCGCAAUGGCCCAAAACAAUUCGAUGGAAACUCUGCGAGCAGAACAGGCAGGCGUGCACCAAGCAAGUAGCAGUUCCUCUGUGACUGUUGUACAGCCUGCUGUACCAAAUCGAACGACUGAAUAGUAUUAAGUUUAAAAAUUAUGUUUUAAAAUUCGAUAUUAAAAAAAUAAGAACUUAGAGUUCUUGUUCUAGAGACAAUAAAGAAAUUGUCGUCAAGCAAAACUAAAGGUUGUCAAAAUUACUUUAUAGUAUUAUUAUAUAUUUUCAGUUACUAUCAGAAUGUUCUAACAGUUUUUGUGAUAUUCAUAUAUACAUAAUUAUGUAUAGAAAAAUUAAUAAUAUAUUUUUUUUACCUCCUGUUUAUCUAUAUUCCAACUGAGAUAUUAAUAUAACAUAUAUAACGUAAAAAUGUCGAAAGUGAGCGCGUGUGAAUGAGGAAGAAUGAUUAAUGUAAAGUUUAUUAAAGACUAAGAUGCACAAACUCAAGAGGUAUGCACGCGAAGAGUAAAUGCUACCGUAAUGUAUUACUGUAACAAUUUCCUGUAGGUACUGAUAUAUGUGUACAUAUAUUAUAUUAAGUGUAUUGCUGUCGUACAACUGUUCAAGUGCAUUCCUCAUGUAUUUCUUUGCCGUUUAGUGUAUCUUAGCGCUGUUUAAACUGUAAUAAUUAUAUUAAAAUGUAUUUAGUGUACAUAAUAUUUAUAUAAGCGUAUUUUCUACCAUUAAUUACAUAUAGUGAUUAGUAAAAUUUAUAUUAACUUUAUUCGCAUUUUGUUGUGAUAUUCAAAACUAUAAAGAUCCAGAAAAAUCUCAAGAAUUUAUUUAUG
rnacentral:misc_RNA from 1 species